rnacentral:rRNA from 1 species
UCCGCUUGAGGAAGGCUUUUACCCACCUCUAGAACGCUGGGGGAAUAAGGAGAGGGCAAGUCUGGUGUCAGCCGCCGCGGUAAUACCAGCUCUCCGAGUGGUGKGGAUGUUUAUUGGGCCUAAAGCAUCCGUAGCUGGCUAAGUUAGUCCCUUGUUAAAUCCACCKAAUUAAUCGWUGGAUUGCGGGGGAUACUGYUUGGCUAGGGGACGAGAGAGGCAGACGGUAUUUUCGGGGUAGGGGUGAAAUCCUAUAAUCCCGGGAAGACCACCAGUGGCGAAGGCUGUCUGCUAAAACGCGCCCGACGGUGAGGGAUGAAA